rnacentral:lncRNA from 1 species
CUCAGAGCCAGCAUCUCACUUAACCCCUGCAGCUACCAUGGGAAGUGGGUCCGGUUGUUGUAAUCUAUGUUUCAAAGAACAGGAACUAAGCCUUGGUUAUUAAGGGCUCCCAGGUCCCUGUGAAAGGUUAGUGUGACCUGGCACCCCCACUGUGAGAGGUCAUUGUGACCUGGCACCUGGGACUUCUGAAUACAGACCUUGUCUUCCUGCUGGGUCUCAAGGAGCUACUGUCCCUGCUGGGAUCAGGCCCUGGUGGCUAAGAAGGUACUCAGGAUGGAGGUGGGACUACCCAGCACCUUGGGGAGAUGGUGGAUCUGCCAUCCCAGUUGACUCUGCCUUUG